rnacentral:lncRNA from 1 species
UCCCAGGUUGGAAUUCCCUGGAUCCAGGACAAGGAAUGUCCUGGUUGGUCCCAUCAUGGAAUUCCCUGGUUGGAUCCACCUUGGGAUUCCUGGGUUGGAUCCAUCAUGGAAUUCCCUGGCUGGUCCCACCUUGGGAUUCCCUGGUUGGAAUUCCCUGAAUCCACCACAAGGAAGGUCCCGGUUGGUUCCAUCAUGGAAUUCCCUGGUUGGGUCCACCUUGGGAUUCCUGGGUUGGAAUUCCCUGGAUCCACCACAAGGAAGGUCCUGGUUGGUUCCAUCAUGGAAUUCCCUGGUUGGGUCCACCUUGGGAUUCCUGGGUUGGAUCCAGCUUGGAAUUCCCGACUCACCCCUCCCCCAGCAUUCCCAAACUCCCCCUCCCAUCCCACUUCCCUCGGGAAGCUCCAACCCGGAAUUUCCAACCCCUCCACCAACCCUUUCCCCCUCCCAUCCCCACGGAACCUCCGAAUCCCGGGAUUUUGGGAUGAGAAUCCCCAAAAAAACCCACUUGGGGGAGCCGGGCGGGAAAAUCCAACCGGAUCCGGAGCGGGAACCGCGGCCUUUUCCCAGGAUUCCGGACCUGUGUCCUGGCCAACCACUGGCUGGACGACGGCGAGGGCCGGAUCCGCCGGGCCCGGCUCCUGCGAUCUGCUUCGCGGAGGCACUUCCACCUGGUGCUGGAAUCCUGCCGGAUCGGGACAGGGCAGCCGGAUCCCGGCAUCUACUCCCGCGCCCUGGAAGAGCUGCGGGCGGAGCCGCGGGAGGCCAUCCUGCUGGAUGAGGUCCCGGAGAACCUGGAGCCGGCGCGGGAGUUGGGAAUGGCCACGAUCCUGGUCCGGGACACGGACACGGCGCUCGCGGAGCUGGAGGAGCUCUCGGGGCUCCAGGUGGGGAUUCCUGGGAUUCCUGAGGGAGCUGGAGUGUCCAGGUGGGGAUUCCCAGGAUUUCUGACAUUCCCUGGAUUGGGGUGUCCAGGUGGGGAUUCCUGGGGUUCCCAGGAUUCCUGAGAGAACUGGAGUGUCCAAGUGGGGAUUCCCAGGAUUUCUGAGGGAGCUGGAGAAGCUCUCAGGGAUCC